CUUCUGAAUUGGGGUGGAUUGAGACCUUCUGAAUUGGGGUGAAUACUGUGUACAGGCUGGUAUCUGCCAGCCUUGAUGUAAACAUCCCUACUCCCUAGUGUCCCACUGCAUCCAGUGGCCAACUGACGAGGACACCUACUCGCUUCUCCAAUUACAAUACCAAGAUGACUUUUCCCAAUGAUGGGAUAUGCACCUCUCGUCUUAGAAUGUCAGAUUUUUUAUGACAAUCUGCAAUGAGAGCCUCGAAUUCCUUAUCCAACAAAAUGUUUGAAAGCUUUAUGUCGCAAUGAAUUAUCCGGAUACUACAAUUCUCAUUGAAGACAGCGAAGCCCUCUUGCUACUCCUAGUUUGAUGUGCAUCUGUGUUGGCCAGUUGAGAGGGGGCAGCAAUCCAACCCAUUGCCUGCGCCGCUGAUGCUUCCAUAAACUAUGAGCCAGAGUUCCAUAAGCCAAUAAACGGAUGUACAAGAAAGUACUCUUGCUGUUUUGUGUUCGUUUUUACAAGUUCCUGCGAAUGUGCUUCCUUGCAAAAGCCAAUUAUUUGAGGCAGAUUCCGAUGAAUGGUUGCUCUCUGGACCUGUAAUUCUGGUCGAAACUGACGCAUGGACAAAGCAGUAGGCGUGCAUGGUUCGCAUCUUCUAACUGCCACAAGAGAGAUCCAUCAGCUACCUGGCCUUUAUAGACCUUAGCAGAUCCACCUCUGCCAAUCAAGGUUUUUCUCACAGAAAAUUGCCAGUUGCAACUUGCAGUUCAUGAUAAGUAAAUAUUUAUAGCUUUGUCAGAGAAGUUAGCAGGGUUGUAUGGAAACUCCGAGGAUUUCUUCUGAUUCCAUUUAGAAAUAUCAACAGCGGAGGCAGCACAAUUGGCAAAUCAUUCCAUGACUGCAAGAGCUCUAACGCAACCAUUUCUGAAUGCUAGGCAAAUUGUGGACGGCAGAGAAGUAGGCAGAGAGAACAGUGUGGACCAGUCAAUGUUUUCUGUGAGAUCGACGGUGGAGAAAUUGAAAACCAUCUCUUUUACCGCUCUCAAUCAAAAUGUGGAGUCACUGUUUUCUAAGGUGUGGGAAUUUAAUUUUUGCAAA